UUACACAUGCAGUCGAACGAAGAGCGAUGGAAGCUUGCUUCUUUCAAUCUUAGUGGCGAACGGGUGAGUAACGCGUAAUCAACCUGCCCUUCAGAGGGGGACAACAGUUGGAAACGACUGCUAAUACCGCAUACGAUCCAAUCUCGGCAUCGAGAGUGGAUGAAAGGUGGCCUCUAUUUAUAAGCUAUCACUGAAGGAGGGGAUUGCGUCUGAUUAGCUAGUUGGAGGGGUAACGGCCCGCCAAGGCGAUGAUCAGUAGCCGGUCUGAGAGGAUGAACGGCCACAUUGGGACUGAGACACGGCCCAGACUCCUACGGGAGGCAGCAGUGGGGAAUCUUCCGCAAUGGACGAAAGUCUGACGGAGCAACGCCGCGUGAGUGAUGACGGCCUUCGGGUUGUAAAGCUCUGUUAAUCGGGACGAAUGGUUCUUGUGCAAAUAGUGCGAGGAUUUGACGGUACCGGAAUAGAAAGCCACGGCUAACUACGUGCCAGCAGCCGCAGUAAUACGUAGGUGGCAAGCGUUGUCCGGAAUUAUUGGGCGUAAAGCGCGCGCAGGCGGAUUGGUCAGUCUGUCUUAAAAGUUCGGGGCUUAACCCCGUGAUGGGAUGGAAACUGCCCAUCUAGAGUAUCGGAGAGGAAAGUGGAAUUCCUAGUGUAGCGGUGAAAUGCNUAGAUAUUAGGAAGAACACCAGUGGGCGAAAGGCGACUUUUCUGGAACGAAAACUGACGCNUGAGGCGCGAAAGCCAGGGGAGCGAAACGGGAUUAG
rnacentral:rRNA from 1 species